rnacentral:rRNA from 1 species
GACGGAGGAGGCAAGCGUUAUCCGGAAUUAUUGGGCGUAAAGCGUCCGCAGGCGGCUUUUUAAGUCUGUUGUCAAAGCCCACAGCUCAACUGUGGAUCGGCAAUGGAAACUGGGAAGCUAGAGUGUGGUAGGGGUAGAGGGAAUUCCCGGUGUAGCGGUGAAAUGCGUAGAUAUUGGGAAGAACACCGGUGGCGAAAGCGCUCUGCUGGACCUGCACUGACACUGAGGGACGAAAGCUAGGGGAGCGAAAGGG